CAAUCCACUGCCUUAAUCCACUUGGCUACGUCCGCC
rnacentral:tRNA from 1 species